rnacentral:rRNA from 1 species
AGAGUUUGAUCAUGGCUCAGGACGAACGCUGACGGUGUGCUUUAGACAUGCAAGUCGAACGCGAAAGCCCUUCGGGGUGAGUAGAGUGGCGAACGGGUGAGUAACACGUGGGUAACCUACCCCUCGCAGGGGGAUAACCGGGGGAAACCCCGGCUAAUACCCCGUACGCUUGCUGGGUCGCAUGGCCCGGCAAGGAAACGGUAGCUUCGGCCAUCCGGCGAGGGAUGGGCCCGCGGUGCAUUAGCUAGUUGGUGGGGUAACGGCCUACCAAGGCGACGAUGCAUAGCUGGUCUGAGAGGACGAUCAGCCACACUGGGACUGAGACACGGCCCAGACUCCUACGGGAGGCAGCAGUCGGGAAUCUUGCGCAAUGGGCGAAAGCCUGACGCAGCAACACCGUGUGAGCGACGAAGGCCUUCGGGUCGUAAAGCUCUGUUGUUGGGGACGAAGGGUUAGGGGUUAAUAGCCCCGAGCCUGACGGUACCCUUCGAGGAAGCCCCGGCUAACUACGUGCCAGCAGCCGCGGUAAUACGUAGGGGGCGAGCGUUGUCCGGAAUUAUUGGGCGUAAAGAGCGUGUAGGCGGCCCGGUAAGUCCGCCGUGAAAGCUUGGGGCUCAACCCCAAGUUUGCGGUGGAUACUGUCGGGCUAGAGGGUGGUAGAGGCGAGUGGAAUUCCCGGUGUAGCGGUGAAAUGCGCAGAUAUCGGGAGGAACACCAGUAGCGAAGGCGGCUCGCUGGGCCAUACCUGACGCUGAGACGCGAAAGCGUGGGGAGCGAACAGGAUUAGAUACCCCGGUAGUCC